AUGUUCACCUAGCAGAGAAGACAUCAUGAUUAUGAAGAUGGUCCUCCCAAAGUAAGACUUUUUCACUGCACUACCAGAUGUGCUGAGCCCUGUGAUUUCCCCAAAUGUGGGAAACGUGGCUGCAUAAUUUGUGAUAGUGAAGGACUGCACUUGCACUUUCCCCUG
rfam:Ictidomys tridecemlineatus contig050377, whole genome shotgun sequence.